CAGCAGUGGGGAAUAUUGCACAAUGGGCGAAAGCCUGAUGCAGCAACGCCGCGUGCGGGAUGACGGCCUUCGGGUUGUAAACCGCUUUUAGUAGGGAAGAAGGGCUUCGGCUUGACGGUACCUGCAGAAAAAGGACCGGCUAACUACGUGCCAGCAGCCGCGGUAAUACGUAGGGUCCGAGCGUUGUCCGGAAUUAUUGGGCGUAAAGAGCUCGUAGGCGGUUUGUCGCGUCUGCUGUGAAAUCUGGAGGCUCAACCUCCAGCCUGCAGUGGGUACGGGCAGACUAGAGUGCGGUAGGGGAGAAUGGAAUUCCUGGUGUAGCGGUGGAAUGCGCAGAUAUCAGGAGGAACACCGAUGGCGAAGGCAGUUCUCUGGGCCGUAACUGACGCUGAGGAGCGAAAGCGUGGGGAGCGAACAGGAUUAGAUACCCUGGUAGUCCACGCCGUAAACGUUGGGCGCUAGAUGUGGGGACCUUUCCACGGUUUCCGUGUCGUAGCUAACGCAUUAAGCGCCCCGCCUGGGGAGUACGGCCGCAAGGCUAAAACUCAAAGGAAU
rnacentral:rRNA from 1 species